UCGACGCCCGGCCGUGCGGGAGGCGGAGCGGGACCUGGAGCGGGUGGACCCGGGGGCGGGGGACGGCGCUGCGCCCGGAGAUCGGGCAAUAACUGCCGUGCGAGGAGGCCCCCCGAGAGGGAAGGGCGAGCCCGGCGACGCCCGCGGGCAGGCGAGAGGCGGGGGGCCGGUCUCCGGCAGCCGAGGGGCGACCACCCACCAGCGGGCACCAGGGGACCUGUUUCUGCCCAUAGAGGAGAGAAGGCGACGCCCUGCCGGAGGGCAGCAGAGGAGCGAGCCGAGCCCCGCCGGUCGCAGGAAACGGCACAGAACAAGUUGGUGGCCUGAGCGGCGCCCUGCACCUGGGAUCCAGCCCUGCCUCUCCUCCUCUGCGGUCGGUACAGACGUGGGGCCGGCCUCUGCACACCACCCUCUCUCCCCUGUCUUUGUCCAGACGUGAGGGAGGGCCCGAGCCCCCCUUCCCCUCACGGAGUCCUGUACACGGAAUGCCACUGAGUGUACAGACCUUCUGUGAUGGGGUUUUCGCUGAGCCGCCAUCUUCUCAACUAUGUUCCACUGUCAGCCAAUCGUGAGGGGCUGUCACGUGGCUCGGGGUUCCGCCCUGGGUUCUGAGAGACUUCACCAUCCUCAGGGCCCACCUGGCUGCCGGAUCCCUGACGCGCUCACCUCCGAGGCCUCCCCCGCACCUCAGCCGGGCCCCUGCCCCACAUUUUAAAUUCCAACUCCAUCCUCUCCAGACAGACCUGCUUUUCUGCCUUGCUCUCACAGUCAUCUUUCAGCAUCCCAGUCCCUUUGACCGGUUCGUUUUCUCCCUGGUGGAUAAACGGUGGGCCCCCAGUCCCUGUAACCCAACCAUCGGACGCUCUGCGAACACCAAGCCCACAAACCACUGUCUGGCAAUUGUUCUGUUUGUCCCCAAACCCUCCCCCUUCCCCUUCCCCACGGUGGCUCUUCCAAACCUUCGCCUCUUCCCCAUCCCAUACCCGACUCUUCUCCUUCAUAGAGAAAAAGAAAGCCAUCCAGUGGGUACCCUCCCCCUUCUCCCUCCCUCCCCCUUUCUCCUCCGCACUCACUCUUCAGAGGAAGAGAAGUCCUUGCUGCCCAAGAUAAACUCCCUGCUUCCGGGCCUAGGUCAAACACCUCUGUAAAAUGUCUCUUGCUAGCCCCAAGAUAGACUUGGUUGUCAACGCUCCCACCUUCAUUGAAGCAAUAAGUCCCUACUAUGUGCUAAACCCCUAGAUGUGAAGGGCACUAGGCCGACACAUCCCGCCAGUCUGCGAGGGGCCCACAGCUGACCGCCAUAACGGGACCAGAUAACACGAUUGAAGCUUUUCCCUGCCCAUCCACUGAAGGGUUUUGCCUCUGUGGUUUUUCCCUCCCCACCACCUGAGAAGGCUCCUUCCAUGCCUUUGGAGCUUAGAGCUGGGUAGGAAGGAGGAGGAGAAGGGAAAGACCAGGAACAAGGAGGUGUGGGGGUAGGGGUGCCGAAGAGAGGGCACAGGGACACCUGGCGUGUGUAAAGAAUGGGGUGA